rnacentral:piRNA from 1 species
CCAUCGUGCAUCACUCUCCCUUCUGCCU